rfam:Vibrio cholerae O1 biovar eltor str. N16961 chromosome I, complete sequence.
UUAUACCAAAACUACUUGGAGUUGCAGGUAGGCGGCAAGAGAGUGAAUCCCCAUCAGCAUAGACAGACUAUGUGAUUGGGGUGAACGAACGUAGCCAAUACCGCUGCAGCUUCAAGUAGGUAUAG